rnacentral:lncRNA from 1 species
UAAUUGGAUUAUAUCAAGCCCUAAAUAUAGACAAAAGAUGAUAGGAAGUUUCUCAUAUGAUGAUGAACUUCAAUAAAAAAGGACAACUCUAGUGAGACUAAGAAGUUGCUCUUCUCAAAGAGAACGUACUAUUUGACUCCCAAAGAAAUAAUGCGUAAAUAGAAUCCUUUUGUGCAUACGCAGAAAGGUGAUUUAUGUAUUUCAUAUUGUAUGAAAAACAUUGAUAUGAGUUGUACCUAGAACGGUACAAGACGAUAUCAGUGCAAGCCCAGGAUCAGAACCAUGGCAACUGUCAAGUGAGUCUUUAAGUAUUUAAGAAAUACUAAAGGAUAUAUUCCUCAAAGAUCGAGGAAGAAUUAGAGUAACGUAAUGGAAGUGUAAAUGUAUUAGAUUAUGAAUCUAAUCCAUCAUUGGAUGUUUCUUCAUUAUGAAUGAAGAGAUAAACAGAUAUCUUUUAUUAUGACUAAAGAGAUAUUUGGAUGGAAACAUUAAAGUAAUGACUUUAGUGUGUUCCAUUAUGAAUGCAAAAUAUAUUGCCAUAUAGAAGUUUACAACAAUGUUGUUUAGAUGGGAAAGUUCAUUUAUGAACUCUCUAUUCGGUUCCAACCAGAAAGUGUCUGACACUAAUGGGGCGAUAGCUCAAGCCAGGGAAUCAAGGUCUCAUCACGAUCUGAACUCAAAUGAGAGACUGAACCACAUGAUUAAGAAUCAUGUAUAAUGGUGACGUCGUUAUUCUCAAUGAAGGAAUAUUUUGUGAAAACAUGUUCAUUUAAGCAACAUCUAUAAGCAUGCAAUUAACAAUUAAAGGCGGAAUCAUGCUAGCAUGCACUUAAAAACAAAACAUUAACCAUGAAAUUCAAAGCCUAGUAGAUUGGUGAACCUAUAAACAACUCAAAACAAAGUGAGUUGAAAUAUAUACCUUUGUAGAUUCCUCUUUGUAUUUAAAACAAAGGCUAAUCACCCAAGAGAUAGGGCCUUCAUUCCUUGCAUCUUAGAUCCAUGGAAUUGGAUGGAUCUACACCAAGGAGAGCAUGGAUGAUAAAUGAGUGACCAUGGAAGAAUAGAUGGCUAGCUACAACUUCCAUGGUGGCCGGCCUUUCUAGAGAGAAAUGGAGAGACCAUUCUCACCAAUUUUCCCCAAAACAAACCCUUUAUGAAUAAAAGGCUAUAAAGUCAUAUUUAUACCUUUAUUCAUUUGAGUGGCAAACUUGUAAUUAAAGCAAGUUCA